rnacentral:misc_RNA from 1 species
UCUCCGUAGGUGAACCUGCGGAGGGAUCAUUACAAGUGACCCCGGUCUUACCACCGGGAUGUUCUUAACCCUUUGUUGUCCGACUCUGUUGCCUCCGGGGCGACCCUGCCUUCGGGCGGGGGCUCCGGGUGGACACUUCAAACUCUUGCGUAACUUUGCAGUCUGAGUAAACUUAAUUAAUAAAUUAAAACUUUUAACAACGGAUCUCUUGGUUCUG